AUGAAUCAGUCCGGGUUUAAAGACUGGAAGGUUUUAUGUUGGAACGUGCGUGGUCUUAAUUCUGAAGCACGGCAAUUAGCGGUUAAACAAAAGAUUGAUGAAAGUGGCUGCUCUGUGGUCUGUCUCCAAGAAACGAAGUGUAUGCAUAUUGAUCACAGGUUUAUUAGGAAGUUUUGUCCACGACGCUUUGAUAAUUUUUCGUAUGUGCCUUCGGUGGGUGCCUCGGCUGGUAUGGUCAUCAUUUGGAACUCCUCUUUCUUUGAGGGUAAAUUAAUUGAGGCAUGGCCUUAUGGUAUUAUUCUGGAAUUCCACUCUAAGCAUACUUCUGAAGUUUGGACCCUAGUGUCAGUUUAUGGCCCUUGCCAGGGUCCGGCCCGCGAUGAUUUUGUGCAAUGGUCAUACAACCUUGACAUCAACUGUGAUGAUAAU
rnacentral:rRNA from 1 species